GGUCUUGCCUGCUCAAUGAUAAAUUAAAUAGCCGCGGUAUAUUGACUGUGCAAAGGUAGCAUAAUAAUUAGUCUUUUAAUUGAGGUCUGGAAUGAAUGGUUAGACGAGAAAUUUACUUUAUUAAUUUUAUUUUUUUUGAAUUUUAUAUUUUUGUCAAAAAGCAAAAAUGUUUAAGAGGGACGAUAAGACCCUAUAGAUCUUUAUGUUUUAUUUUAUUUAAUUUUUUUAGUUGUUUUUUUUUUUUUAAAAUAAAAUUUUUUGUUGGGGUGAUAACUAAAAUUUUAAACUUUAGUUUUUUUUUACAUAAAAUUUUUGGUUAAUUUGAUCUUUAUUUUUUGAUUAAAAGAACAAGAUACCUUAGGGAUAACAGCGUUAUAUAGUUGGAGAGUUCUUAUCGAUAAUUAUGUUUGCGACCUCGAUGUUGGAUUAAAAUUAAAUUGUGGGGUAGGUUUUACAAUUUUAGGU
rnacentral:rRNA from 1 species